GGUCUUAUAUUCAUAUUUGUGAUAAUAGAAUGCAAUUCUAUAGGGGUGGUUUACAUGCUACUAAGGCUU
rnacentral:tRNA from 1 species